AUUGAACGCUGGCGGCACGCUUAACACAUGCAAGUCGAGCGGUAACAUGACUAGUAGCAAUACUAGUUGAUGACGAGCGGCGGACGGGUGAGUAACACGUAGGAACUUGCCCAGUAGUGGGGGACAACCAAGGGAAACUUUGGCUAAUACCGCAUAUUCUCGAGAGAGGAAAGCUGCCGCAAGGUGGCGCUAUUGGAGAGGCCUGCGUCCGAUUAGCUAGUUGGUGAGGUAAAGGCUCACCAAGGCGAGGAUCGGUAACUGGUCUGAGAGGACGACCAGUCACACUGGGACUGAGACACGGCCCAGACUCCUACGGGAGGCAGCAGUGGGGAAUAUUGGACAAUGGGGGGAACCCUGAUCCAGCAAUGCCGCGUGUGUGAAGAAGGCCUUAGGGUUGUAAAGCACUUUAGGCUGGGAGGAAGUUGUGAAGUUUAAGAGACAUUACAAUUGACUGUACCGGCAGAAUAAGCACCGGCUAACUCUGUGCCAGCCGCCGCGGUAA
rnacentral:rRNA from 1 species